AUGGAUUUUUGUUUUUUGGAUAAAAGGGGAGCUCAGACUGAUAGUAUCAAAAAACGCUUACAUUUUGAGACAGAGGGAGUAUUGGUCAUAACUGGUGCGAUACUGGUGAUAAUUUGUGACAUGGUUGGCAGGCAUUCUGGUUGCUUAGUGACUGCCAACCCACCCAAUAUUUCUCAGGAAAACUCACUGUUGUCAAUUUCUAUUGCUGAACGGACUGUCUUUUUUAUUUCACUUGCAGAGUUGGAAGUCAAUUGCCUACCCCAACUUGUUUGUUUGUUUGUAGAGUUGGAAGUCAGUUGUUCUUCAUGA
rnacentral:rRNA from 1 species